CUCAUUUUUUAGGAAGGAACCACAUGUGAAACCACUUACCUGUUUAACCCUAUGAACUUGAAGAGAACAUGUAAUGCCACUUAAAAUACCUAAGCUCGGGUUCUGCCUUCAGCGACUCCUGGUAGUAGUGCCCUUAUGAGCCAUUUAUCAAGAAGAAACCAGGGCACUUGGAAUGUUUUGAGGGAGGCAGAUCUGUCCCCGUCAUGGAGCACUGACUACCAUCUUCCCUGAACUCUUACGUGAGGAAGAACAAACCUCUAAGGUUGUUAGCCUCUAUUUUGUGAUCUCCUUAUUAGAGCAACUGAGCCUAUACCCUAACAAAUAGACAUUCAUAAGAUUUGCUGAUGGAUCAGAUGUGGAUGGGAGACAAAAAGAAGAGUUAAGGAUGGUUCUAAGGCUUUUGGCCUGAGCAAAAUGUGUCAUUUACUAAGAUGUAGAAGACUAUGGGAAGAACAUAUUUGGCAAGAAGAUCAAGAAUACAAUCUUGGGCAUGGCACACUGGAGAUGUCUAGUUGACAUAUCUUUUAAAAAUAAUUUUUCAUUAGCCAAACUAGUACUUGCUUUAAAAAAAAACCCACUAAGAUCUCUAGGUGCACUAAGCAUUGCACAAAACUAAAAGGAGAUACUCUCCUAUUUUCUAGUGGUUCACAAUUUAAUGUAAAUCCUACAAUGGGCUGAAUGUCAGAUCAAAAUUAUACCCCAUAUUUAGAAAUUUCUGUAGAGGAACCCAUUCAAGGUUUAAUUGAAAUGCCAUUAUUACUUAAGCUACUUUAUACAAAUUAUUCUGCUAGAAUACCUUUAUAAUUGUAAAGAUCUCAAAAUAUAGUUAUUUACUAUAUACAAA
rnacentral:lncRNA from 1 species